CAGACGGAGAUGUGGAAGAAAGGGAACAGGAUUCACAUCCAGUGCAAGGUGAAGGAGAGCGGAGACUUGGUGCUGUCUGGAGCAAAUAUAGAUCUGCAGACGGAUGUGUGUGUCAGCGCCGGGUCUCCGCAGAGCCUCGGCCUGCAGAGCGACCUGGUGUUCUCUGAGAUCGCACGCACUUUUUUUUAGAAGUGCCAGAAAACCUAUGACACAGGAGAUGUUCCUGAUUUUAACAUUUCUGAAGGGAGCUGCUGACAGAGAGGAUGAAAACAUACACAUUUUGAUGUCCACGCUGUAGGAGCAUUACUAAAUAAGUUCUUCCAUGCUGAUGGCUGUGCUCUAGUCAUAUCUCCUGUCGAAGAACAUUUUUAGACAUUAUGAACCAUGAAUAAGUUUAGCUCCAACCCCAGUUAAGCAGACCUGAGCAGCUGAUCAAGGAUCAGCAGAAACUCUGCAGAACGGU